GACAGAUCCUCCUUCUUAAGGCCCAUUUUGAUGAAGGUGUCCAUGUAGAGGAUGUCCGCGGAACUGCCGCUAUCGACAAUCAUCCUCUCGACACGGGAAGUUGGGCCGAUGUCUGCUUGGAUCACGAGUGGAUCCUCAUGUGGUAGCAGGACAUCGUCCAGGUCCUCUUCGGAGAAGUAAGUAGACUUCUCUUCCCGAGCCCUU
rnacentral:lncRNA from 1 species